rnacentral:misc_RNA from 1 species
AACGCAUAUUGCACUUCCUGGGUAACUGGGAAGUAUGUCUGUUUGAGUAUCAUUUACCAUCUCCUACUACUUGUUGUAGGAGGAAUUGGUUGUCACCUGAGUUCGACACAUUGAAUGAAGGUGCGUGCACUUUAAGCACAAGUCUGUCCUAAUUGAUGCAUAGCGUACCAGUCGCAUAAUCUUACCAUGCCAGGCGUAGUCGUAGGGAGGAUGGUACUAACGUGCAACCAGGCGGAUGGUCUUGAAAUAUCCAGAUGGAGCGCUUUUAACGUGAUCUCAAAUAAGACAAGAGUACCCGCUGAACUUAA